UGUGCGGUCUGCGAGGGAGGGACAAGAGGAGUAUGGAAGUGAGAGAGGGGGUGGCGAGGGGUAAGGUACCACCGGGGCGGACGAGAGGGGUGACGGAGUAGAUGGGUGGUGCCGGAGCGGGGCAGCCGGCGGCGGAGGAGAGGGGUGGGACCGGAGCCGGGCGGCGGAAGAGAGGGGUGGUGCUGGAGUGGAACGGCCGAACGGCGAUUGGGGCGGCAAGAAGGGAUCUAGCUGAGACAGCGGCGGCAGGUGUAGAAGGUCGCGUCUAGUUCUACGCUCGAUCUCCUCGUAGGACCUUUGCUACGCCGUCGCCCGUAGAUCCUCGCCCGGCUCAAGGUCAAGCAGAUGCACGGGUGGCACUAUCAGCUGGAGCACGAAGCGAGGGUGUGGACGAGGCUCUUCCGCGAGGGUCGAGCGGAUGCACCAGCCAACGAGGUCCUACAUCGAACCCUUCCAGUCUGACAACCUCAACUUCGUCAACAUCUAAAGAAGUUCCGUUUUUAUUUCGUAAACGUGAACCACUCUACUUUUUCUCCUACCGUGUCCACUACGUUCCUUGGCUGCCGGACAAACGUCGCUUCUUCCACUCCGCCCUCGUCGGCGCGUACAUUACCGGUCACCUCCCGCCGGUCCCUUCCGCCGCCGCCACAAAAGCACGCCGCUCCAGCGGCAGGUCCUUCCGCUUCCGCUACUACAAAGACUCGCCGCUCCCCUAUAGGCACCCUAUACAAAGAACAAAAACCUAAACCUUCCAGAUAAUAAUAAACACCCUUACCCCCUAUGCACAAACUUAAACAAACAUUCUGGAUGCACUAACAUCCCUAACACAAACGAAAGCGUACCUUCAAAAGGAGGCGCCACCUCAUACCACUCAGUUGUAUUUAAUCAUUCACGUGUGGUCUUUUGUAUAGUCCACUUCCGAUCGGCAACCUAAAUCUAAUCACCCCUAUUAAUACGCCAUCAUAACCCAGGCACAUACAAAACACCCCACGCAAAUCGUUUCUAUUACAAACGAGAAAAUAAUCAUCACC
rnacentral:rRNA from 1 species